AUUGAACGCUGGCGGCAGGCCUAACACAUGCAAGUCGAGCGGAUGAAGGGAGCUUGCUCCUGGAUUCAGCGGCGGACGGGUGAGUAAUGCCUAGGAAUCUGCCUGGUAGUGGGGGAUACCGUCCGGAAACGGGCGCUAAUACCGCAUACGUCCUGAGGGAGAAAGUGGGGGAUUUUCGGACCUCACGCUAUCAGAUGAGCCUAGGUCGGAUUAGCUAGUUGGUGGGGUAAAGGCCUACCAAGGCGACGAUCCGUAACUGGUCUGAGAGGAUGAUCAGUCACACUGGAACUGAGACACGGUCCAGACUCCUACGGGAGGCAGCAGUGGGGAAUAUUGGACAAUGGGCGAAAGCCUGAUCCAGCCAUGCCGCGUGUGUGAAGAAGGUCUUCGGAUUGUAAAGCACUUUAAGUUGGGAGGAAGGGCAGUAAGUUAAUACCUUGCUGUUUUGACGUUACCAACAGAAUAAGCACCGGCUAACUUCGUG
rnacentral:rRNA from 1 species